rnacentral:piRNA from 1 species
GCAGUUGUGAUUGAGGAUUGAAACGUGUA